CCCUUAGACGUUCUGGGCCGCACGCGCGCUACACUGACCAGUGCAACAAGCAUCCGUCCUUGGCCGACAGGCCCGGGCAAUCUUUGAACGCUGGUCGUGAUGGGGAUAGACUUUUGCAAUUUUUGGUCUUCAACGAGGAAUUCCUAGUAAACGUAAGUCAUCAACUUGCAUUGAUUACGUCCCUGCCCUUUGUACACACCGCCCGUCGCACCUACCGAUUGAAUGGUCCGGUGAAGCCUCCGGAUUGGCGCGCACCUCGGUGCCGCCGAGAAGUUGGCUAAACCUUACCAUUUAGAGGAAGGUGAAGUCGUAACA
rnacentral:rRNA from 1 species